UUAAAAAGAAGAGGAGGAAAAUUACAAGACUGGGAUGAAAUCUGUCAUGUCAGCUAAGGUUACCACAGGAGCAUCACUGUAUGCUCCUGCUGGACUAUUCUGACCUGGCAAUGGAAGUCUUGGCAUUAGGCUACGUGUAACCCCGAGGUGCAUGUUAUAUGGAUUAAAGCUCUCUAAAUAAUAAACCUCACCCUGUAGUUGUUCAUGAGGCAGACUCCAGGGUGAGGUUUCAUAUAGCCCAAUGCUAUUCCACAUUUUUUGCAGGAAUUCUGGAGGAAUUAUAAAAUCACAGUGGGUGAUUCCCCCCUCCACUUUACAGCAUUUAGCUGAGAGCUCCCAAUGCCUAGUAAUGUAGAGCAAUUAAUAUGUCCUUUGCUUACAGCUUUGCUGCUAUCCUGAUAGUGCUGGCCAGUGCUAAUGCUGGCCACAGGAGUAGAUUCUCCUUCCCUGUGGCCAGCAUUAGCACUGGUGCUUCCAGUAUUUUGCCCCAAGUGGUCCUGCACCAGAAGCAAAGCUCCUUCAUGUCACCUCUUCUGCCUCCACAUUUUCCUUUGCUUGACUGGUUUCACUAUGUCAAUGUUUUUCAUGCACUGAAGAUGCUCAGAUGGGAUAUGUUGCUCCAAGUGUGAAUUCAAAAAUGCCCAAAAUAGAAAGAGUACCUCUCUUGUUUUGUUUUUUUUUUUCCUCUGCAGUUUUUCUAGUACAAGCCAGACUAUAUUUGGCCUUCAUUUGCACAUCAACAACUGGAUAUCACUAGGAAUGAAACCAGCCUGUAAUAUACAUAGUUAUUACAUCAUUCAGACAGGCAUGAAGAAGACGCACAAUGCUGCUGUUCAAACUGGCAGGUUGAAGUUGUCUCAGACAAUUUGUGAGAUCAGAGUGGAAAUCCACAGAAGUCCAUUCCUCUUGGCCAAGGGUCCAGAGUGAUUUUUUUGAGAACUCAAACUCUAACUGUUGGGGAACUCAGAUUUACAGAAGACACCAGAAAAGCCUUGGCAAGGCACAAUCACCUCUCAAACUUACUCUGUCUUGAUAUCGACAGCGUCAAGAGUACAAAACCCACCCAGCUCUUCCCUCCUCAGUUCCUGAGUCUGCCCUGCUGAGGGACAUCUCACAUGUCACAUUCCUAUCCUCUCAGGGCUGGGAGAGGUUGGGCUGCCACAGCAGCGAUUCCCUGCCGCUGUAAAUCAGACUGGGACUUCAGAGAAGGUGCAGAGGAACGGCCUUUUCUAAUGUAAAUGCAUUCAGCAAUGAAAGGAAGAGGGGAGGAAAGGGACACAGGGAGAAGCAGCUCCCUGUUUCAGAAGAGCUUUUCAGUGUUUUCCAAGAGGCGUCAGCAGCUCUUUAAACAGAAGCUUCUAGAUAAGAGAUUUUAGAAGGUCACUUCUUUGUGAGGCAGCAGACAGAGAAAGAGGAGAGGGAGGGAGAGUCUGUCCAAGAUGCCUCUUUUUUUCUAGCAGACACCCAAAUAUUCUUUUUCAGCUGUAACUGAGCCUGGCACAGAUUGGCACUGUGGCCCCCGGGUUCUGCUAACAAUAUCUCUGUUUGACAAUUCAGCUCUGGCUAAGGGGAGACAAGUAGGGAACCUUUUCUCCAGUGGUCCUUGUGGCCUGAAUACAUACAGAUGAGGAAUCUCUCCUUCCCUCUUUCGGUAGGUUUUGGAGUCACUGUCCCUCUUGCAGUGUGCUGAAUGUGGGCACGCAGAAAUCCAGUUCAGGUGUGCUGCCCAGUGCAACAGUGGACUUCAAUGGACCUCAAAGGUAGAACAGAUGCGUCUGAGGAAAAAAAUAAAAAUUGCAGACAAAA